GGGCCUGUAGCUCAAUGGCAGAGCCCCCGGCUCAUAACCGGAUCGUUGUAGGUUCGACUCCUACCGGGCCCA
rnacentral:tRNA from 1 species